GAUGAACGCUGGCGGCGUGCCUAAUACAUGCAAGUCGAGCGAAUGGAUUAAGAGCUUGCUCUUAUGAAGUUAGCGGCGGACGGGUGAGUAACACGUGGGUAACCUGCCCAUAAGACUGGGAUAACUCCGGGAAACCGGGGCUAAUACCGGAUAACAUUUUGAACCGCAUGGUUCGAAAUUGAAAGGCGGCUUCGGCUGUCACUUAUGGAUGGACCCGCGUCGCAUUAGCUAGUUGGUGAGGUAACGGCUCACCAAGGCAACGAUGCGUAGCCGACGUGAGAGGGUGAUCGGCCACACUGGGACUGAAACACGGCCCAGACUCCUACGGGAGGCAGCAGUAGGGAAUCUUCCGCAAUGGACGAAAGUCUGACGGAGCAACGGCGCGUGAGUGGUGAAGGCUUUCGGGUCGUAAAACUCUGUUGUUAGGGAAGAACAAGUGCUAGUUGAAUAAGCUGGCACCUUGACGGUACCUAACCAGAAAGCCACGGCUAACUACGUGCCAGCCGCCGCAGUAA
rnacentral:rRNA from 1 species